rnacentral:pre_miRNA from 1 species
UCGGGAGAAGUGUGGCUGCUAGGCUCCUGGGUGCAACCACACAGAGCUGUGGCAUCCACGUCGAGCGAUGGC